GGCUCUGAGACAAACCUCCAACCCCCGACAGAACCCGGUGUCUUUCACAGAAGAAGGAUGGACAGAUGGACAUUGUCUGACACUGCUCUGAGGGGAAAGCUAAAACCUGACAGUGAGAGACGUGUCCUGGGGCUCCUCUCUGAGCUGUUACUGCAGAUAUCUCUACACAAUGAGCAUAUUUAUGUGGGGAAAUAUCAAAAGAGCAGCAAACAUUGCCAAGCCACAACAGCCCUCCAUACACCAGCUCCACAAGGACUGGUUUUCACACCUGAAUCAAUUCUUUCCCUAUCACCCCAAGAGCAGCUCUGGAAUUCUUCACAGACUCUUAAGGACGGCUCAUCAAUAACCAGAUGGGCCCUGACGAUCAGAGACCGAUGAGGGCAGAUGAACUGUUGUCCUUCUUUGCCCUUCAGCCAGCCGCCCCUGGGCUCUGCAACACCUUGCUGUGGUCAGCCUGUGGCUGUCUGAACCCUGUUUCUGCAGCAGCCUCACCAGGGCAUGAAGGCAGAGCAGUCUAGGGGUGCUGAGCUGUGCCAGGGCUGUGGCUGCUCCUUGCUCCCUGUGCUUGCACCUGGCUCUGCUCUUCUGCUUCUCUACACCAGCUCUGGAGCUCAUUGACUCCCAGUCAAAACUCUCCCAUGAGUCAAAACCAAAGCAUGAUUUUCAGGAGGUUCCAUGAGCUUGGAGGGCCAGGAGAGCUCAGAAUGUGCAGGAGCAAGUGGCUAGGUGGGAAUGGGAAGGGGAUGAGAGAACAAGGGACAGUGCCAGCCCUGGAGCAGCCUGGCUGAUGGGUUCCAUGAGCCAUCCCCCAAAAUAAGCCCAUACAGUCCUGACUGAGGUCAGGGAGUCAGUGUAUUUGGCAGGAGCACUGAGGAGCACCUGGACACAGGUCUCCAGGAGGAUUUAAUAUUCCUUUAUUCCCUCUGACUUUGAUUUAACCAUGGGCUGUGAUGCUUUAAGUACCAGAUAUUAAUUAGAAGAGGUAGUAGGUCCCAAAGGGACUGUACUCCAGAUCUUCUCACCAUUCCUAGUUUGACUUAUUUCAGGUUACUACUCUGAAACAUUAUUUAUGCACUCAGGAGCCUGACAUUUUUAAGGCCUAACUAAAUUUGCAAAUAACUAAAGGCUG